AUUGAACGCUGGCGGCAGGCCUAACACAUGCAAGUCGAACGGUAACAGGAAGCAGCUUGCUGCUUCGCUGACGAGUGGCGGACGGGUGAGUAAUGUCUGGGAAGCUGCCUGAUGGAGGGGGAUAACUACUGGAAACGGUAGCUAAUACCGCAUAAUGUCGCAAGACCAAAGAGGGGGACCUUCGGGCCUCUUGCCAUCGGAUGUGCCCAGAUGGGAUUAGCUUGUUGGUGGGGUAACGGCUCACCAAGGCGACGAUCCCUAGCUGGUCUGAGAGGAUGACCAGCCACACUGGAAAUGAGACACGGUCCAGACUCCUACGGGAGGCAGCAGUGGGGAAUAUUGCACAAUGGGCGCAAGCCUGAUGCAGCCAUGCCGCGUGUACGAAGAAGGCCUUCGGGUUGUAAAGUACUUUCAGCGGGGAGGAAGGGAGUAAAGUUAAUACCUUUGCUCAUUGACGUUACCCGCAGAAGAAGCACCGGCUAACUCCGUG
rnacentral:rRNA from 1 species